rnacentral:lncRNA from 1 species
UUCUCGAGGGUGCUGUCGUCGCGGGCCUGCUUGGUGAUGGAGCGCUUGAACAUCGGCUCCACGUCGAGCGUGACCGUGGAUAUGGCUCCAAGGACGCCAAUAGACAGCUUGGCUGCAUUCAGGUCCGGGCUUGAUUUCCCAAGUUUGAUGACUUUGGCAUAGCCUUGCUCCCUUGAUGCAGGAACGACGAUAGUGAUUCCGGAGACAUAGUCAUGCACUGCUCCACCUUUCCCAAGCAGACUGCUGCCGUGCGAGCCCGUGCUUAUUACUCCGGCGAUUGAUAGACCGUUGAAGUAAGGCGUACA